GGGGGAAUAUUGGACAAUGGGGGAAACCCUGAUCCAGCCAUGCCGCGUGUGUGAAGAAGGUCUUAGGAUUGUAAAGCACUUUAAGUUGGGAGGAAGAGCAGUUAACUAAUAUUUGACUGUUUUGACGUUACCGACAGAAUAAGCACCGGCUAACUUCGUGCCAGCAGCCGCGGUAAUACGAAGGGUGCAAGCGUUAAUCGGAAUUACUGGGCGUAAAGCGCGCGUAGGUGGUUCGUUAAGUUAGGAGUGA
rnacentral:rRNA from 1 species